rnacentral:rRNA from 1 species
CCUACGGGAGGCAGCAGUGAGGAAUAUUGGUCAAUGGGCGCGAGCCUGAACCAGCCAAGUAGCGUGAAGGAUGACUGCCCUAUGGGUUGUAAACUUCUUUUAUAAAGGAAUAAAACGAGGCACGUGUGCCGUUUUGCAUGUACGUUAUGAAUAAGGAUCGGCUAACUCCGUGCCAGCAGCCGCGGUAAUACGGAGGAUCCGAGCGUUAUCCGGAUUUAUUGGGGUGAAAGGGAGCGUAGAUGGGUUGUUAAGUCAGUUGUGAAAGUUUGCGGCUCAACCGUAAAAUUGCAAUUGAUACUGGCAGUCUUGCGUACAGUUGAGGUCGGCGGAUUUCGUGUUGUAGCGGU